AUACAAUUUUAACAUAUUAAAAAAAUCAUUUUAAAAAUGUUGGCAAACCCUAGAAUCCCCACUACUUUCCUGUUUCUUAUUUUUGUCUAACCCCUCCUCAACCAGCCGUUUAUGGCUCUCUCUCUCUUCCCUCUCCUCAAAAUUUUAGAUCUAAAACUAUGGCAUGGUGAGAUAACAAGCAAGACAAAACCAAAAUUCAAUUAUCUCUCUCCCUGAACAACCCCCAUGGUCGCUUGAGUCGGACGACACGUUUGGGUCGGGCUGUGAUCCGAAGCGACACCGUCUCCUCCGCUCUCCGCUGUCAAUUUAACUGUCAUUGCCCAAUCCUUCAUAUAGGUUCACUUCUCUUUCCUCUCCUUGAUUUCACAUGAGCAUCGAUUUUAAUUGCCAAAUUUUGUUUUGAUUGUCGAAUUUGAAUCUACAUUGAAGCAACUUACUAGAUCUGAUUUUCGUUUUAAUUUCAGGUUUUAUUCAAGGUAAACUUCAUUUUCUAUUCAGAUUAGUUUUUAGUUUCAUUUUAAUCAUUUAAAAACUUGUUUUUCUUUUAAGUGUCGGGAGGGGUGUAGAGUGCAACCCAGAUCAGAGCACUUCAGCAAAUGGGGUCCACAUGCGGUGGCGGACUAGCGAGUCAGCGCAGUCGUGAAGAAUGACAUAUUCUAUAUAGUUAGAUCUGCUGCGCUGCGCAUCUCGCUGCUGAUGAGUUUCGUUCACUUGUUGAGUUUCUUUACUAAUGAUGAUGAUGAUGAUGAUGACAGUAGCUCAAUUGUACAAGUAUUUAUUAUCUAUCGUAAAAUUUGUAAUUUUGUUUUCUUGGAAGAAAUUUAGUUAUUGUAAUUAAAAUAUCGGUUAUUUUAAUUAAAACUACUCCAUAUAAUCAUUAUAAUGGUAUUGA